UGAAAACUGUGGAUGAAACAGGAAAGGUCACACCACCAGGCCCUACCUGCAACGUGAUGUUGGACUGAGGCCAGUUUUUCACAUCCUGAAGUUCGACGGAGCGCCAUUCUGACACUUGGCCAUCUGGCAGGGUGUCUGCUGAAGAUCUGUCACCUCACAAAACUCGCCACUGAGGAGCCAAAAUACAUC